GACGAACGCUGGCGGCGUGCUUAACACAUGCAAGUCGAACGAAAAGAGGGAAAGAGCUUGCUCUUUCCGGAAUUGAGUGGCAAACGGGUGAGUAACACGUAAACAACCUGCCUUCAGGAUGGGGACAACAGACGGAAACGACUGCUACUACCGAAUAAGUUCCAAGAGCCGCAUGGCCCAUGGAAGAAAAGGUGGCCUCUACCUGUAAGCUAUCGCCUGACGAGGGGUUUGCGUCUGAUUAGCUGGUUGGAGGGGUAACGGCCCACCAAGGCGACGAUCAGUAGCCGGUCUGAGAGGAGGAACGGCCACACUGGAACGGGGACACGGUCCAGACUCCUACGGGAGGCAGCAGUGGGGAAUCUUCCGCGAUGGGAGAAAGCCUGACGGAGCAACGCCGCGUGAGUGAUGACGGCCUUCGGGUUGUAAAACUCUGUGAUCCGGGACGAAAAGGCAGAGUGCGAAGAACAAACGGCAUUGACGGUACCGGAAAAGCAAGCCACGGCUAACUACGUG
rnacentral:rRNA from 1 species